rnacentral:rRNA from 1 species
GACGAACGCUGGCGGCGUGCUUAACACAUGCAAGUCGAACGGAAAGGCCCUGCUUUUGUUGGGUGCUCGAGUGGCGAACGGGUGAGUAACACGUGAGUAACCUGACCUUGACUGUGGGAUAACUUCAGGAAACUGGGGCUACUACCUGAUAGGAGCUCCUGCUGCAUGGUGGGGGUUGGAAAGUUUCGGCGGUUGGGGAUGGACUCGCGGCUUAUCAGCUUGUUGGUGGGGUAGUGGCUUACCAAGGCUUUGACGGGUAGCCGGCAUGGGAGGGUGACCGGCCACCUGGGGCCUGAGAUAGGGACCAGACUCCUACGGGGGGCAGCAGUGGGGAAUCUUGCACAAUGGGCGGAAGCCUGAUGCAGCAACGCCGCGUGCGGGAUGACGGCCUUCGGGUUGUAAACCGCUUUGGCCUGUGACGAAGCGUGAGUGACGGUAAUGGGUAAAGAAGCACCGGCUAACUACGUG